AAAAAUAAAAAGGUGGAAAAGUGGGUGUGAUUUUCUUCCUGGCAUCCCACGUAUUCCACCCCAUUUUGUUCACAUUUCUUACCUUCUUUUUGUGCCCCAAAAGUCUCCUUCUUAUCCUAUUUUGCUGGCUGCCUCAGACCAGAAAGUCCAGCUCCUUUACUUCUUUCUCUAUUCCUCUUUCUUUGCUCUUCUUUCUCUCUUCUUCCUUUGCUUCUACACGGCAGCCCUCCCUUUCUCACCAACACAAAAUAUCCCUCUCCAAAGAAGAAAUUAAAGGGUUAACACUAAAAUUUCAGUUUCAAAUUGUUGGGGGUAUUACCAGUAUCCAAGUCUAAGCUCCUUCGACUUUAGGCUCUCGAUUCCUCUGCUUUCAGGUAAGGGAUAAGUUAUAUGGGCAUUUGGUAAGUCAUGAGGUUAUUUUAAAGUAUAUUAUGCAUUAAAAUGUUUUUGAUUAGAGAUAUGACAUGUAAUCAUUAUUCUGACAAAGAUAUGUUCAUGAGCUUUCGAAAAACUUAAGUAUAUGAUUUAAGCAUAUUAAUGCUAUUACUGAUUUCACGAACAUGAUGUUUAAAGAAAAGAAUAGAAAUGUUAUUAUCAUGAGAUGUCAUGCAAAACAAGAAAUUCCAGUAUGAUGUAAAGUAUAAAAUGUUUUCGGGUUAUGUCCUCUGGUGAUCUGAACUCUGCUAGUAGGGGUUAAUUACUAGCUUUCCAUGGAAAACGUUAUAUGAUUGGCCAUUAAGUGGGACUGGCUCUGCUGUACCCGCCCCUUGUUGGUUACGGCCAACUUGUGGGGGAAGCCAACCUACCCCCAUGGUUGGAAGAUAUGUAUUAUGAUGUAAUCCCGGGAAUACCUGGCAUUGUGGGGAAUGCUGGAUGCCUAGCACCGUGGUGCUAGAAGCCUCCCAAAUAAGUACAGACUUAUCAGAUAUGGGCUAACCAAUAAGUUAUUUAUGAACAGCUAUGUUAUGUUAUUAAUCAUGAGAGAAUUAUUUUGUUUAAAUGCAUUGUGAAAAGUGAAAACUCUCAUGGCAAGAAGAAGUUUCUAAUGAAAAGAAAAGCUGUUCAUUAAAGAUAAAAGUUUCUGAAGUUCUGUUAUGCUAUAAAGUUAGCAGGUUUUAUUUUGGAGCAGAGGGAGCCUUAGUCGAGUUUUGGAAGGAGCUGGUGUAGUUUUACAUGUAUAGAUCCUAGAUUAGCAAUUUUAUGUUUAGCUUUGUAGUAUCGUGUAUUUUAGGAUCUAAAGAAAGUUGUGUAUCUUAAAGUAUUAAGAGAUGUAUUAUGUGAAAGUGUGGAACUUAAAUGAUUGAUGGAUUAUGUUA